AUUGAACGCUGGCGGCAGGCCUAACACAUGCAAGUCGAGCGAGCGGCGGACGGGUGAGUAAUGUAUGGGGACUGCCCGAUAGAGGGGGAUAACUACUGGAAACGGUGGCUAAUACCGCAUACUAUCCGAUAACCCAUAUGGGAUUAGCUAGUAGGUGGGGUAAAGGCUCCCCUAGGCGACGAUCUCUAGCUGGUCUGAGAGGAUGAUUGGCCACACUGGGACUGAGAAACGGCCCAGACUCCUCCGGAGGAAGCAGUGGGGAAUAUUGCCAAAUGGGCGAAAGCCUGAUGCAGCCAUGCCGCGGGUAGGAAGAAGGCCUUAGGGUUGUAAAGUACUUUAAGCGGGGAGGCGUUACCCGCAGAAGAAGCAACGGCUAACUCCGUGCCAGCAGCCGCGGUAAUUC
rnacentral:rRNA from 1 species